GGAAAUGUUGAAAAGUUAGUGGCGAACGAGGUAGUAAUACAUAGGAACUUCCCCCAGAGUCGUGAAUAAUCCAUCGAAAGAUGGACUAAUACACGAUGGCCUCAAGGACUUUUGUCCAAGAGUAAAGUUUUAACGCUCUGGGAAAGGCCUGUGCGAUAUCAGCUAGUUGGUAGUGUAAUGGACUACCAAGGCUAUGACGUCUAGGGGAGCUGAGAGGCUGACCCCCACCGAUGGUACUGAGACACGGACCAUACACCUACGGGUGGCUGCAGUCGAGAAUCUUCCACAAUGGACGAAAGUCUGAUGGAGCGACGCCGCGUGAUUGAUGAUCUGUG
rnacentral:rRNA from 1 species